rnacentral:rRNA from 1 species
GACGAACGCUGGCGGCGUGCUUAACACAUGCAAGUCGAACGGAAAGGCCCUGCUUUUGUUGCUUGCUCGUUUGCCGAACGCGUGAGUAACACGUGUGUAACCUGCCCUUGUCUUUGUGAUAACUUCUGGAAACUGGGGCUAAUACCGGAUAUGAGCUCCUGCUGCAUGGUGGUGGUUGGAAAGUUUCGGCGGUUGGGGAUGGACUCGCUGCUUAUCCGCUUCUUAGUGUGGUAGUGGCUUACCAAGGGUUUGACGGGUAGCCGGCAUGAGAGGGUUAACGGGCACAAGGGGACUGAGAGACGGCGCAGACUCCAACGGGAGGCAGCAGUGGGGAAUAUUGCACAAUGGGCGGAAGCCUGAUGCAGAGACGCCGGGUGCGGGAUGACGGCCUUCGGGGUGUAAACAGAUUUCGACUGUGACGAAGCGAGAGUGACGGUAAUGGGUAAAGAAGCACCGGCUAACUACGUG